AUAGAGAAAAGGGGGAAGAAAAAAGAUCAAGAGAAGAAGAAGCCUUCCAUCAUUGUGAUCCAGGGGCCUAAGCCCGGGAAACCAACUGACCUUUCAAGGAUGCGCCAAAUACUUGUGAAACUCAAGCACAAUCCUCCUCCUCAUAUGAACCCAAAACCACCACCACCACCACAAACAGAACCUACCAAAGAUGCAAAAACCAGCCCUGCUGUUGGUUCUGGCACUGCUACCUCAAAGCCUGCAGCCCCUGCAACUCCCAAGGGUGUGGCUGCAGCUUGAGAGACAUUCUACCUCCCUGCUGAAUCUGCUUAUGUGAAGAGUAACUAGCUAUGUUUCAGAAAUGUUUAUUUGGUAUGAUCUUGAACAUUAUGAUGUCUGAAAGUUUGUUAUUGUGAUCAUGCUAAUCUAAGCAUGUGGCAGUAAUCUUGUAGAUUUUUUUUUUUUUUUUUUCUGUAUCUAUUUUGUUGAUUGAUCAUUUUGGUGCGGUUUGUCUUGUGAACUUUUCCUUCAUCGUCUUCCUUUAAACCUUCAACCGUCCGUUUAGUUUGUUUCCCCGGAGUAUUUCAGUUUAAAGACUCCACUAAAGUAGUGGAACAGUGCAGUCACCAUCAGAAGGUGCUGGGAUGAGCUUUGUUUUGCCUCAGGUCAUGAGUAUGGCGCUGUCAGUAAGCAGGGAAAACUACUUAGCUGUUCUGUGAUUGAUAAUGGGAUGCGACAAAUUAAUAGUUAUUAUUGAACUCAAGACCAAUUUAACAGUUCAUUUUGCAGUUACUCAUGGAUGCUCAUUUGGUUAGUCCCAAAGGCCAGGUAGAUGGUGAGACAAACAAGUAGUUGAAGACCAAUAGAAAAGAAUGAGAUAUACAUUCAACUGCUAACAACAAAUUACGCCUUUGGACCGACAAAUCUGCAAUCAACUACACACUAAUGAGUCUAUCCUCUACCCCACCAAACCCCCGCACCCCCCAUUUUUGGAGGGGGAACUUUGAUCUCAAUUUAUAAACAUCAUAAUGGAAACGAAAGAAUAUAGUAAUUCUAUCACCUAGCUAGUUGAGCCGAGGUGGGUACCUCAUGAUCUACAGAUCUCUUGCCCUUGUGCUUUUGAGAAGACGAUGUCUCUGAGCUACUGGCGCCCAAAGAAUAGGAGGUGUUGCCUCUGUAGACCCCUGGCUCUGUCAGUGCUUUCUCAUUCAGAUGGACAUCUUUGGAAAGCAUCUCCACCACCUGCUUCAUUGUUGGUCUGUAAUGCGCACCUGCUUGGGUGCAAAAGAGCCCAACCUUGAUGAAGCGCAUAACCUCCUUUUCUGGAAAUUGAGUCAGCUCUGGGUCAACUAUUUCCAGAAGUCUUCCCUCUUCUCUCAGUUUCCAUGUCUGCAAAAGCAUACAAAUUUUAGUCAUCAAACACUGUAAAACUUGUCCAUCUGGGACAAACAAUAAUUGGUUUUGCCAAGAAUUUUGGAUUUUUCUCAGUCCAAUGUAAAAUAGUAUGGAUCUACAAUAUCAUCAACCAUGCCCUUUGUUUUUUUUUUUUUUUUUUUUUAUUUAAAAGGAGAUAAUUCCAAAUAUCCCAAAAAGAAUCCAAGAGGAACUAAGGACGCAAUGAUACAUAAUAAUAAGAUAAGAAGCCCGAUUAAAAUCAAAGCUUCCCUCUCCCAUUGGCAAAGCUGCUUUAUCUCUCAUUAUAUGACAAGACUAACCGACAGAGACAGGAGUCUACAACUUCCACAAGAUAUGACACAAUUUCCAAAGAUGGAUUUAAUGAGGUGUCAAAACUAUUAAUGCAGAUGAGAUAAAAAGGUAAUAUAUGGUAUGGAUACAUCAACUUCUGUUCCGAGUGAGUUAUCGUGCCAUGACCUUCUAUGUCCUGAACUAUUUAAUGAUACACAUGUUGUGUGAUUCUACAGAUUAUAGGACUAGUGUUAAUAUCAUGGUCCAGGUUUAUCCAUCAACAGUGAGUCAAUUGGUUGUCAAUGCUUAACAAGAAAUGUUCACCCUCUGAUACUGUAAAUAGAGCCCUAUGGGGUUCAGUGAAACAAAGAAAGUCUCAGAUUUGGCAUCUGCACUUUAUAUCUAAUAAAAUAAGACCAACAUGACUUAGAAGAUUCAGCAGCAGAUAAAGUCUAGAGAGAUACCCAUUCAACUAGAAUUAACAUAUCAUCUCCAAAUGCUGCCUUGCUACUACUUCUGCCACUAAUUAUUUCAAGUAAAAGCACACCGAAACUGUACACAUCAGCCUUCUUUGUAAGCUGUCCGAGUAGGGCAUACUCUGGGGCCAGAUAUCCCCUGCAGACAUGGAAGAAAACCCAGAGAUGUGAAAAGAAGCAAAAACAGACAAAACAGACCUAUUAGCAAACCACAAGAAGCCCGAAAAUCCUACUUGAACUAGCUAUCUUUACAAACUUCUGAAGAAAUAAAUGGCCCAGGAAAAUUAAUGGUAAAACAAAAUCCAAUUAAGUGUCCUGCUUACAUCGUUCCAGCAACUCGAGUACUGACAUGGGUGACAUUGUCCGGAAAGAGUUUUGCAAGCCCAAAAUCUCCUAUUUUAGGAUGAAAGUUUCCAUCAAGAAGUACAUUACUAGCCUUAAUAUCUCUGUGGACAAUAGGUGGGUCAGCUUCUUCAUGAAGAAAUGAAAGACCAGAAGCUGUACCCAGGCAAAUAUUUGCUCUUGUAGGCCAGUCCAGAGAAACAUAUUUACUCUUUGAACCUGCAAUGAUAAGCACCAGACAUUAGAGCAUAUAAACUUCGAAAGCUCAUCUAAAUCCAUAAUUUCUUUAACACAAAUACACACAUGAACAUAAUACAAACCUCGAACAUACAAACACAUUUUCCUACCAGAACAAGACUCACAAAUGUUCUUCCAAAUAGUGCAAUUCGGAGAGAUGAGAUUAUAUUUACCUAAUAAUGCAUUUGCAAGGCUGUUAUUCUCCAGAUAUUCAUACACCAAAAUCCUAUUAUUGUCCUCAACACAACAACCGAUAAGUUGGACUAGGUUCGGAUGACGAAUGUUCCAUAUCAUAUCAAUCUCUGUCAAGAAUUCCUUCGUUCCUUGUUUGGAUUCUGCAGACAGACACUUGAUGGCUAUUUGGGCACCAUCUCUUAAAGUACCCUGCAACGACAAAUAAUUAAGCACAUUAGUAUUAAAAUUUUAGCUAGAACCUAAAAGUAACAGCACAAUGGUCAUUUUUCUUAAUCUCACCCUAUAGACAACUCCAAAAGCACCCCCACCAAUCAUGUUAGAUGGAUGAAAAUCCCUGGUUGCCGAUCUCAACGAAUUGUAAGAAUACAACGUUAUAUUGUAGGUGGAGAUGCCUUAAUAAGCAACAAAAAGAUUAAAAAAAAAAGAAAUUAAACAACAUUCAAGAACCUCCGAAGCUGCAACUAAUAAUUGAGCGUAUACAAUCCAAGAGCAAUUGCAGUGUUUCUACAAAACAACAUAUAGCAACUUGAACAUGCUGAAUUAUUUUUAUUAUUACUAUCAUAUGAUUCAUGAACCAAAUUACAAAGCAAUUGGGUCGCUCUAAGUUCUCUCACCAUGUGCUUCAGCCUGAUCACUAUCUUUUCUUUUACAACAUUUGAAGGCACCAAAGCAACUCCAACUCAUUGCAAAAAACCGUCACCGAGUCUUGAGAGUCCACAAACAGAAAAACCCUUAAAACCAACAUGUCUAAGAUCAUCAAAACAGAAAUGUCUAAGAUCAUCAAAACAGAAAUACACAACAUGUCUAAGAUCAUCAAAACAGAAAUACAAAAAAAAAAAAAACAAAAACAAAAACAAUGAACAAAUAAUUUUAAAAAGUAAAAAAUUACUUUUUUAUUCACUGAGUCCUGAAUAUACUUGUUGAAACUUUGCUGGCUGACCAGUAACGUUUCUUGGGUUGUUUAGACAAGGAAAUCCAAGUUUGAUUGUAUAGACUAUUUAUAAGAAAAUUAUAUGAGAGAAGCAUCCGCGUAUCUAUUAAAAAACAAAAAAACAAAAGACAAAAAAAUGGGGUCUGUGAUUAUUUUAAUUAUUUAAUUUUCAUAUUAAUGAAUGAAUUGAGUGCCAAUGACAGAAAAAAAGGUUGAAAGGCUUUGUGACAAAUGAUAAUGACAAUGGUUUCAUUUUUUUUUUUUUUUUGCUCGAUUUCCCGUGUGAAGGAAAGACACGGCAGGAGUACGUUUUUGGCUUUGCUGACAUGAAAGAAAGUCGUCGGGUGGGAGGUAGGUGACAUCGGUUAUCUUUUCCAUUACUUCUUUUAUUAAUUAGUUCAAAUAUUCUGUUCACUUGAAUAUUCAUAAAAUGGAGGGGUAGUUAAAUUUGGUAUGGGAAGAAUUUAAUUAAUAUAGGGUGUGUUUGGAAAUGAUGUAUUGUAAUUUUUAAAUUACAGUUGUUAUGAAAAAAAUUAUAAAUAUGAAAUAAAAAUUAGUAAUAUAUUGUAAAUGUAAAUUUUAAAUAAUAAUUUUAAUAAAAUUAUUAAAGAUAUAAUAGAUUUUUCAUUAUACAAGUGAAAAAUCAUUUCAAUAUAUCUUUCAAACUACAACAGUUAGUGUUUACCAAAAAUUUUAGUACUCUAACUUUUAAACUACAACUGGCCAACCUCAAUCUCAAAUGCACCUAUAAUUUAAAUAAAUUUAUAUUUGAAGAAUGUUUUUAGGAGAAAAUCUAUUCUUUCACUCUUUUAUUUGUCAUAUAGAUAAGUUAAUAAGUCUUUUAAGAGUAAAAUUAAAUGAGUUAUUUGGUGAUGUUACAUAUAAUCUUUUAUAUGAUGGUGAUAUUUUCACCCUAUAAUUUUUUAUAAACCCAUCCCAAGAAAUAAUUACAAAAAUUUCAUAUUACUUUUAAAAAAUAAAGAAAGAGGAAUUUUGGAGAUUUAAUUAAAUAAAUUAAAUACCUAUUAGGUAUAAGAACUCAUUCUUUUGGGGUCAAUUUGGUCAUUUUAUAAAUAUUAGGGUAAAAUAAUUAAAUAAAACUUAUUUUAAAGCAAUUUUAAUGGUCAAUAGUACCUAAGUUAAAAAAAAUAAGAAAAUUAUUUUUUUUUUAAGUAAGGGGUGGGCAAAGCCCAAAUAGGUUUUUAUUUUGCCCCCUUACUACCCCCAAGACUCGAAUCCGGACGUUAUCGGUUAACAAGCUUGAUGCUAUUAAGAAAAUGAUUUAAUUGAUUAACUGUCAAACUUUUCUUCGUACAUUUUAAAACUAAUGCAAGUUUAUUUUAAUUAUUUUCUUAACGUGAGGUGGAUUUACAUAAAAUAUUAGAUAAAAUAUCCCCAUUCUCUUUCAUAUUGUGAUGAUUUUUUCAAUAACCAACUUAAUUUUGUUCAUUUAUAUCAAAUAGGACCUUAAACUCUUAUUCAAAUGAUCAAAAUCAAAUUAUCUUUAAAAUAUUGGUGAAAAUCAUCUUAGGGUUAAAUGCUUCUCAUUUUUAUGGGAAGGAUGUAAGCGAUUAAGUCUCCCUGGUUGAAUGUAGAAUAUAUUUCUUUUCAUAUGAUUUAUUUCGAGUAGAUUCCUUUUUUCAAUUUAGAAUUGAUGUUUGAGUUGCAUUUGUUAACUUGUUGUUAUAAACUUAUAAUGAUGAAAGUUGAUAUUGACAAAAUUUUUUGUUGUAAAUUUUUGAAUUCAUCCUUAUUGUGCUAAGUAAGGUGAAUUUAGGCAUAUUUGUGAUUCAAAAUUUUAAAAUAGUAAUAAUAACACGUCUAUGAUAUCGUGAAUCAGCAUUAACUGUAAAAUUUUGUAAAUUUAAAAAAAUGGAACAUAAGAUUUUUAAAUGGAAGGUAAAAAAAAUAAAUUAAUAUAAAACUUAUAAAUUGAUGUAUUAUUAGUAAACAAAAUAAAAAUUUAUAAAUAUAAUGUGAAAUAAAAUAUAAAAUUUGGAAAUGGAACAUAAAAUUUGUAAAUCGAAGGUAAAACAAGUAAAUUAAUACAAAACUUGAAAAUUGAUAUAUUACUAGUGAAUAAAACAAAAAUUUGUAAACAUAACAUACAACCAGUAAAUUUACAUUGCAAAAUAAAUAAAAAUUUUAAAAACAGAACAUAAAACUUAUAAAUAAAAAGUAAAACAAGUAAAUUGAUAUAAAACUGGUAAAUUGAUAUAUUAUUUUAAAAUAAAACAAGAACUUGCAAAUACAACAUAAACUAGUAAAUCAACAUUGUAAAAUAAAAAAAAUAGAAAUAAAACAUAAGACUUAUAAAUGGAAGGUAAAACAAGUAAAUCAUUAUGAAACUAUUAAAUUGAUGUAAUAUUAGUAAACAAACUACAAAAAAUUUACAAAUAUAGUAUAAAACUAGUAAAUCAACAUUAAAUGUAAAAUAAAACAUAAAUUUUAAAAAUGAAAUACAUGACUUGUAAAUGAAUGAUAACAUAGUAAAUUAAUAUAAGAGUGGUAAAUUGAAAUCUUACUAGUAUACAAAACAAAAACUUAUAAAUGUACUAUAAAAUUAUAAAUAAAUAUUAAGUGUAAAAUAAAAUGUAAAUUUUAUAUAUUACACCUAAAAGUUAUGAAUAGAAGGUGAAUAGUUAAAUUAAUAUAAGAGUUAUUGAGAAAAAUUACAAAUGUAAAAUAAAAACUCAUUUUAAUAUUAAUUACCUUACCUAUUUACUAACUAUAAAUAAAAUGAUAGUUUUGGAUUUAUAUAAUACAUGUGAUGUUUUAUUAAGGAUAAACCUUAUUCUUAAAAUUGGAUUUUUAAACUCUUUUUAAAUUUUUUUGAAACUAUUAUAAAAUAAGGUGAUUUCCCAUCUUUCUAUAUCCCUCAAUAGUAACUCUUGAAUGGUUUCUAAAUACAAGUAAAUAAAAAAGUUUCAAAUUAUAGGAGUAUGCAAAAGACUCAAAAUUAGAUAUAAUUUAUUGAUAUAUCAUAUAUGUGUCUAAUAAUAUAAAAAUAUCUUUUUAUUUUCUUUUGUCUCGAUUCACAUCAAGAUAAACAAUUCCACUUAAUUAACUUGUGUAGUAACAAAUGCGAUUAUACAAAUUGUAAAAAAAAAAAAUUAUAAAUGUCCUAAAUUGAAUACAGAAUUUAUGGUUAAAGCCAAUUCAAUAAAAUUUAUUCCACUUAUCUUUAGUAUCAUUUUUUUUUGUUUUCAGUUGAUUAGUGAUUUUUUUUUCUUUGAUUAAAGUAAAUGAAUAAGUUAUUUUAUACUAAACUUCUAUAGAAACUAUGUUAUGUUUUUAUCAUUAAAAGUCUUAUAUUAAUUUACUUAUUUUACCUUGUAUUUACUAAUUUUAUAUAUAAUUAACAAAAUUUAUAUUCGUACAGCAGAAAAUCUUCUCCUCCUCCUUCUUCUUCUUCUUCUUCUAUGUUUUUUUAAAUAAUUCAGAAAGUGAAUUUCAACAUUUGCUAUUGAUAAUGAUAUGAAAAAAAAAAAUUCUAAAUAUGAUAAACUUCUCGAGAACAUAUUUCUUUCUAAAAUUAAUGACGUGAGGCUAACAUAAUUAUCUCAUUAAAUGCGAGACAAAAAUAAUAAAAUCAUCACAAUACUGUCAUUAUUUAUUAUUCUUAUUAUUUUGUUGCUGUUAUUUAUUUUUUAUAUUAAUAUUAUUUAUAUUUUGAAAAAGAUAGGUUUAGGUGAAAGCAAAUCUAUAUCAAAUUUUUUUUAAUAUCUUUAUCUUUCUAGAAUUCGAGGGCCAAUCAAAGAAAGCUAAUUGAAUGGGGGCAUAUGAAGUGACUAUCACAAAUAAUAAAUUAGUAAAUAAAAUUCCAAUAAAUAAAUAGCCACUAUCUGAAUUAAAAAAAUAAGGAAAACAGGAAUGCUGCAACAAAACAGACGACAAGCAAGACCAAAAACGACCAGAAAUUUGACAAUUCAUUUAUUUCAUAACAACAACCGAUGAAAAGGAAAAGACUGAUUCUGCGCAGACAUCACAAAACAGGAAAAAAAAGUACCGGUUCAAAAUUCAAACCCAUAUCUACGUAAAAUAAAUUUGUCCUAAUUUCGUAAUGAAAUUUAGCCGCCACUUUAAUUGAACAGGUCCAGAAACUCAUUAACGUAGAAUGUCAAUGUUGGCAUACAAUUUGAGGCAAAUAGUCAUUAUUUCCUCUCCUACGCUUGUCAAAAUUUGCCCCAGAGGGACUGGCAAAACGGUUCUCCCAAAAAAUUUAGGGUUCAAAGUUCUUGUGCCCACGUUCCUUAAUUGGAGUAAUUACAGUUUUACCUGUGCUUCCGGAUAUAUAAGAUUCAAAUUAACAGAAAAAUAAUAAAAUGCUCAGUACAAUUGGACCUGAACAAUUAAGUUAAGCAACAAUAUCACGGAUGAAUUAAUGGGACUUGAUUAGACCCAAACAUUUCGGUAUAAUAAGAUUAAGAUUACGGGUGACUUCAACUCGACCAAAGAUUGGAUGGUGGACCACUGCCCUCACUUAACGAUUCGAAUUUUUUUUCUCAAUUAUAUUAUAUUGGGUGUAACUAGUUAUUUUCUUUGAAUGGAAUAAAUAUCCCUUUGAUGGUAGUUCUAAUAAUAACUAGAUAUUAAUGAAUAUAAAAUUUUAGAUUGUGUCAUGGUAAAUUUUAUUGAUGGUAAAUUCUUAGUUGUACAUAUCAAUUGAAAUAAUGUAUACACAUAUAUGUUUCAGGGGAAAAAAAAUGUUAAUGUUUGGUGUAAAUCAUUUUCUACUUAUAGCCACUUAUUUAAUAGGACUAUUAAAAUAAAGUCCACAUUGUCCCCUAAAAUUUGAAUAAAACCCUUGUGUCGUUAUCAUCGUGUUGAAAUUUUGAACUUUAUACUGUAAGGCUGAGUUAGUUAAAAGUAACAUUAUGUUAAAUCAAGCUUACAAUCAUGAAUCUAAAUAUCCAAGAAAGGAAAAAAAAAAUUAGACAAACACCGAAAAAGAAUAAAAAAACAAAUUGCUCUCAAUGACUAAUUCAAGCUACAUCCAGAUUAAAUGUCAGCUAUUAGAAAAAAAAAAACAAUGUGGAAAAUCUAUAUUAUUCUAGAGAAGUAAAAGAGGGGUCAGAUUUUCUUAUCUUAUAUAUAUAUAUAUAUACUGCUGUACCGUACAUCCGCCUUGGCCGUACAGCAGAGGGGCNNNNNNNNNNNNNNNNNNNNNNNNNNNNNNNNNNNNNNNNNNNNNNNNNNNNNNNNNNNNNNNNNNNNNNNNNNNNNNNNNNNNNNNNNNNNNNNNNNNNNNNNNNNNNNNNNNNNNNNNNNNNNNNNNNNNNNNNNNNNNNNNNNNNNNNNNNNNNNNNNNNNNNNNNNNNNNNNNNNNNNNNNNNNNNNNNNNNNNNNNNNNNNNNNNNNNNNNNNNNNNNNNNNNNNNNNNNNNNNNNNNNNNNNNNNNNNNNNNNNNNNNNNNNNNNNNNNNNNNNNNNNNNNNNNNNNNNNNNNNNNNNNNNNNNNNNNNNNNNNNNNNNNNNNNNNNNNNNNNNNNNNNNNNNNNNNNNNNNNNNNNNNNNNNNNNNNNNNNNNNNNNNNNNNNNNNNNNNNNNNNNNNNNNNNNNNNNNNNNNNNNNNNNNNNNNNNNNNNNNNNNNNNNNNNNNNNNNNNNNNNNNNNNNNNNNNNNNNNNNNNNNNNNNNNNNNNNNNNNNNNNNNNNNNNNNNNNNNNNNNNNNNNNNNNNNNNNNNNNNNNNNNNNNNNNNNNNNNNNNNNNNNNNNNNNNNNNNNNNNNNNNNNNNNNNNNNNNNNNNNNNNNNNNNNNNNNNNNNNNNNNNNNCAGCAGUAUAUAUAUAUAUAUAUAUAUAUAGUCAUCAUUUUCUAUUUUUCCUGACCUUCACUGUGAAUUAUUCUUCUACCUGCUAUUUUUUAAUCUUUUAUGUUUUUACCAGAUCAAAGAAAGCGGUCAGCUCAAUUCCUCAUUUAGUCUAUGCAUUAUGCAUAUUUUUUUUUUUUAGAAAGAUUCAACGUGGCGGAAAAACUCUCUCUAAUAUUUAAUAAUAUUUCAUGAAUCUAUCAGAGUUUGAACUUAGGAUGUGAGUCUUAAUAAGAUUGUUCCUUUACCACUGGAACUAGAUUCAGCAACACCAAGUCAAUUAAAUUUGUCUGUUAUCCUCUCAGAUUAUCCUACAAUAUUACAAUUACUUUAUUUUUAAAAAAUUUACCCCACAAGUAUGUGUUAUAUAAUAUUUUUUGGGCGAAUUUUGAUUUACGCCCACAAGAGUGUUCAAUAUACUCUCAAGGUUCUAAAAACAUCAAUGUAUUCCCAUUUACAGUUAAAAAGACAAAAUAAAAAUAAAAAUUAUAAAUGCGCCUCUUAUUUACCCUCAUCUCUUCUUAAUAAAAUGGAGAUAAUUAAUAUUUUCAUAACUUUAGGAGGUAAAUUAAAAAUUAUCAUUCUAGGUAGGAGUAAAUUGAAAUUUACUCAUUUUUAUGAUAAAGUUUUACUGAUUUAUAGAUCCGAGGUAAAUUUCUAUCUCCGGCCUACCCCUUCCCUUUCUUUACUUUAUUUUCCUUAGGAAUUAGGAAUUUAUCUCUAAAAAAGGCAUGACUGCUAGAAAUCAUAUAUGAACUUGUUCUAAGUGGAUUUAUUAACGGGAGUUUCAUAUUUAGUGGAGUCUUUCAUCAAGGGCGUUGGAUCAAAGUCCUUUUUUUUUUUUAAUAACUAAAAUCUCAUUUUUUGAUUCAAUAAAAACAUGGUAGAACCUCAUUAAAUUAAUAUUCGAUAAAUUGAUAAUCUCAAUAAUAAUUUUUGUCAGUCUUAAUUUUACACUAACGUGGUAAAUUAAUAAUUCAAUAAAUUUAUUAGAUAGUAAAUUUUCUAAAUAAGAAAAAUCUAAUUUUUCUACGUGAUUCAACAAACACACAAAUUAAUAAUUAACUAAUUUGAAACUAAAUACAUAUGAUAUGUCUAGCAUAAUGCUUUAGACAUUUCAUCAGUCAUUAUUGCUUUUUUUGCACAUUUUUUAUGAAAAGUUAUUGUUGUUUUCUAUGUACAAUGUUAAGAGAAAUAAGAGAAAGAUCAUCUUAAUAUAUUGCCUCCAAAAAGUCUUCUACAAUUAGUUACCAUAUAAUUGUGUUCUAGCCAUGCAAUCUACUGAAAGGAUUAUUUAGAAUCAUAUCAUAUAACUUGAUAAAAUCACUAAAUUUUUUAAUUAUACUACCAUAUUUCAUAAAAAUUCCUAUUAUGAACAUGAUAUUAUCUUUGUAAAUUAAUAACUUAUUAAUCUGUUGAUAAAUUAAUAUAUUUUUGAUGGUCGCAAAACUAUUAAUUUAUCGAGAUUGUAUUGUACCUUACUCUAAUUAGUCUAGAUUUUUUACUGUUAUAAAUUGUUUUCUGUUGUAAAUCUUAAUUUUUGGAGCCAAUUUUGAUGCUGAAAUAUUUUUUAAUUUUCAUAAUCAACAACCUAAAUAAAUAUUUCUUCCCAUGAUUAACAUAGUGACAUCCACCAAAACCAAAUAAAUUAAUACUACUAGCUUAUAAGAAAGCUCAAGCUAUAAUUAAAAACUCCUAACAUCACAAUCCUAGGCGUUUAGGGUCAAGCUGUGGCCACACUUAUGUAACAUGGCGGCAACUAAGAAGACCAAAUGAGGCAACAUUCAAAUAAUUAACAAAUAUUCGUUGAUGUUAAACAGCUCAACCAACCCAUGGAAAUUUGUUGAUGCAACAGAUAAUGAUGCUUUGAAAUGUUUGUGUUUCAUUAACUGGUAGAAAGAUUAAAGCAGGAGCUUUUUGAUUUCCAGAAAGCGAAGUUCAUAUACAAAUAGUCCUCAUCGCUCGAAAGAGAAGGGGAAAAAAAGUUCAAAUGAUGAUUCAGAAAGCUGAAUCAUCAGAAUCACUAAUACAGGUAACAUAUUGGAAACAUUACCUAAUAAAUGAUACAUAAAAGUAUUACAAUGCCAUGCAAUACCAGCUUCUUUAGAAACGGGUUGUUCCUUAAUCAUCAUGCUGGUGGAGCUUCUACAUACAGAAAUGGGUCACCUGCAGCUAUGCUGGCUGACAGGGGAGGAGUUUCCUCUCUCGCUCCCAAAAUCAUGAAUGUCAUCGAGUUCAUUUCCGUCUAAGAUAAAGGGGUUGUUGUUGACACUUGGUUCAGAGCUAGCAUUGCUGCUUGUGGCAAGAGGAGAGUCUGUAACACUAACUGUCCUACUUUUUAUGGAUCCUGAUCUCACACUAUACAUGGAAGAAGCUGGAAUGUUUGUCAUUAGUGGCCGCAAACUACCUGAAUUAAUGCUUCGCCUUAUAUCCUACAUAAAAAAGAAAAAAAAAUGAAUUAAUUCUUGCCACCAAAUGUGCAAAGCUUGUUGCUUCAAAUGUAUAUGUGCUGCAAGAUAUGAUUUUCAUUGCAGUUAAUAGAAUUUAUAGAGUGAAGCAAAUUGUGUAGUAGUAUCAUUACGCCAAUGCUACUAAUCAAUCCACAAAGCCAGCUUUGGCAAAGCUUCAUGGUAAAGUGCAAUGGGAAAUGCAUACCAUAUGUCUCAAAGCCAUAUCAAGAGAUUUCUUUGAGAGUGUUCUUCCAAAGCCUGAGCUAUCGACGGAUGAAGAUGACUUCCCAGCAGAAGUGUAAUGGGUGGAGUGAUUUUCCUGCUUCGGUGGUGCCAGCUUCCUCAUGUUCACCACCCUUUCGACCAUUUUGGUUCCAAUUACUACUGGGUUCACAUCAUCACCAUCACUGGCAUUUACUCUACGCGCAGAAGUAAUGCAGCCUCCAUUACCAUUUGAAGUCCUUACUCUAGAAGGAGAGCAGGACUGCUGUCUGCGUCUUCCCUUAGAACCAGCCUCAACAGAAGGUGAUUGAGCACUUGGUGCUCCUGGCCUGCCCCGAGAAGCUGAAGAUGGCCUUUCUGGCAAUGAUGUCCUUAAAUUUGGUGGUGCAUCAAGUGAAAAACCAGGCAUCUCAGAGGGUUUCCAAGGCCGAGAUUUUACAGUUGGGGAAGUGCCACGUGAUGGAGCUGAAUUUUUCACUGUUGUGGAACUUGACUUUGACACUGAAGAAGAACAACCAGGAGCCGCAGAUACGCCAGAUGCACCUGAUGGUGCUGAUCGUUGACGAGUUGGUGUAGCUGAUCUUACUGUUUGUCUAGAAGUUGGCGUAGUUGAUCUUACGGUUGCUCUAGAAGUUGGUGUAGCAGAUCUUGUUGUUGAUCUAGAAGUUGGUGUUGCUGAUCUUACUGUUGAUUUAGAAGUUGGUGUUGCUGAUCUUGGUGCUAGCUUAGGAGCUGUUACAGUGGGUCUAGCAGUUGGUGUUGACGAACGAGCUGUGGAUCUAGUCGGAGUUGAGGAUCUCACUGCUGGAGCCGUAGGCUUAGAUGAUGGCAAGGUGGCCCGUGAUGUAGGCGUAGAUGGUCUUGAAGACUUAGCUGUUGAGUUUAAAGUGGGGCGUCCAGUUGGUGUAGCAGCUCUAGCACUAGAUGUUCGUCCACCAGAAGAUGAUGGCCUGCUGUCACCAGUACUGGAAGAGUUCACCCUAGAAGGCAAAUUGGGAUUCUUAGAAAGGACACUACCCCUCGAAGCAGGAUCUUCCUGAACAUUUGCCAGCUGCAAGUCCAUGGAAGCAGGAAUUUACAAGCUAUUACAUAAAUGGUAAUACCACAAAUUUUCUUAACCACCAAAAGACAGUACCAUCAAUCAUCAUAACUUGACAAUCAUUAAAGCUUGGCGAAAUAUCCCAGCGAGAUCAUACACACAAACGUAUUACAGUUGACGAGGCUUGAAAGCAUCUAGAACUUUAUAUACAUAGAAACUUACCCUUGUUUUCAGAGCAGUUGGACGAGCAUUAGGCAUCUCCAUCUGAUUCAGUUUGGCUUUUUGUGAUUCCAUCUCCAAGGAAGGAAAAACUGCUGUACGGCCAAGGCGGAUGUACGGUACAGCAGUAGUUUAUCAAUACUCAUUAAUAAAAUAUGUUAUAGCAAAAUUAUGAAAAACAGUGCAAGAGUUCAACAGUUCAUGUCUAUUUGUGCCAAAACUCAAAUGAUAGUUGCAAAAUUCUUCACGAUGAUGGCGGCCAGUUGGCUUCCAUUUGUAGUUUUGUGUGCUUGGCUUUCUUUUAAAGCUUGGAUGCACGGUGAUCGGAGAGGAAGAAGAGAGUAAAAAAUGUUGAUGUAAGGGUAGUUUGGUAAUACGUAGGGUUUAUUUAUAAAUAAUUUGAUUUGCAAUGUUUUUGUGGGGUGUAUUUAUAAUUGGACUGGUAUUAUAAAAUAAAUGGAGCGGAGACAUCGUCACCUCUGAUAAUUACGUUAAAUGAAUUAAUAUAGUUUUGUUUUGACCGCACGCCAAAUUCUCUUCUAAUGAGAUAAUCUCAUUUAGUUUAUGUUAUUAGUCAAAUUUUAUUCUUUUAAAAAUUUAUUUGUUUUUCUUUCUCUGGAAUCAAAUGAGGAAAUGAACAUUCAAUUCUAAAACCAUAUAAUGUAAUAAUGAGACAAAUUCAUUUAUUCCUUUUACUAUUAAUCUAUUAUCGUUUAAAGGGAUAUCAUCAUUUUACCACCUAAUGUUUUCUAACAUAUAAUUUUAUCACUAAAGUUCGCAAUUUCUUUUUCGCACUUAAUGUUUUAAUUUCUUUUAUUUUGUUAAUGAAUUACUAAUGUUGCAUUGGUAUUUUAAGAAUUUCAGUAUAUUCAGUGUUGAAGGAAUUUCACAAGAUAUAAUAUUCACAAUUUUAUUAGUUAAUUAUUUUAGAUAUAUAUAAUAAGCAAUCGAAAAAAAAGUAUUACUUCUUUGUAUAUAAUUAAUUUUAUAUUUUUUAAACAUGGAUGGUUAAAUUACAGUUACACAAUUUAGUGGUAAAAGAUUUUUACUAUCAUUUAUGUUUAAAAUUUGUUAAAAUAAAAUGAUAAAAACUGAUAUUAAUUGAGAAAAAUAAUAAUCAUAAAAAUUUGGUGAUAAAAUAAUAUGUCCAAAAACAUCAGACGGUUAAAUAAUCCAAGACAAUUUUUUAUGUGUGUUAGAAGAAAAAAAAAAUUAAUUUGAUGUUAGUGAGAGGAUCCAUUCCUCCUGAACUCUAAGCCGGAAAGACAAAGUAACUAAUUGGGCUUAAGGGCAAAAACCAGUCAACCCAAACCCAACAUACAAUUUUAGGUGGGCCUAAAACUUAUGCCCGCAUCGAGCAUACGAAGCUGGAAGGAACAAAACAGGAUUAUUAAUUAAUUUUAUAAAUGAAAUUUAAAGCGUUAAAUUUGAAAAUUUCAUUUAGAUUUAAGGUCAAAUAUGAUAUAUAUUCAUCUAGCUGAAACCCUCGCCUGCAAUUGUUAAAGAAGGGUUAACCAAAUCACUAGGGCGUGUUUGGCAGUGGGCACUAAGUUUGGCGCACACACAGAGCACGGUCAGUACAAAGCUGGUCAAUUCGCCAGCCUUGGGCCAAAUGAGGCCCGCCCUCAUCGUGGGUUUUAGCGGGUCUGGUUAAUAUUAUAUUUUUUUAGUUCAGUCUUUAAUAUUAUUUAAUUUAAUUUAAUUAAUUAACUACUAAUGACUACUAACCAUAGUGAGUUGUCUCUGACUACCCUUAGCCAUUGUAACUUGUCACUGUUCACCAUCGUCAGGCACCAAGUAUCUAUUUAUAUUAAAUAUUACAUCAUUUGAAUCUUCAUAUGGUCAGAAAAUAGACAUUUGUUUGUAGUGAUUUUAUGCCAAAUUUUAAAUUGAAGUUUAACUAUCAAUCUAUGAUCAACGAAAGUUCUAUUAUAGGAAAUGUUGCUGCUAGCGCAGACAAAAAUUCUAACUUAAAAUUAAAAAAUAACAACAGCAAAGUGUACCAACAAAAAUGAGUGAGAUUUUAACUUUAAUUAAACGAAUAACAAAAGAAAAGAUAUAGCUAAAACAACAUGAGUGAUAUUUUACACUUCAAUUAAUAAAAAAUAAACAGAGAGAAAGGAUAUUUAAUUAAUCAAGUGAAAAUCUUCUCUUACGUUAAAACAACAUGAUUGAGAUUUUAACUUUAAUUUAAAAAAAUGAAAGAGAAAGAAACCAUUUUUAAUUAAUCAAAUUAGUCUAAAAAUAGAUGAUUAACAAUAAUAUACCAAUCGUCAAACACUCUUUAGUAAACCGAAAAUCUCUUUUAUUUUAUUUUUAAAGUCAAUGGUUCAAAAUGUCUCGCGCCGUUAUAAAAUUAGAACAUUUAUAAUUUAAGCCUAUUCAAUCUUGAACUAUAAUAUCUCUUUAUAAUAUUAAAAGAAAAUAACAACGACAAUGUUCACCACCUAAAAAAUAAAAAUAAACACGUUAAAUAGGAAAAAAAGUUAAAAUCAAUUUGAGUCCAAUAACUUGGACUCUCUGAAUAUAUUCUCAAGACCACGAGCAAAGCAUCUCUUACGACGCAUUGUUUAUUCCACGUAACGGAAACCACUCAUCACGCAGUAGAUGAUGAAUAUUCGAUGUGGUGGGGACAUUCUAGCAAAAAGGUGGCACUGACAGCAACGACUGGACUUCAACACAGUCAAUUUCCACACUACCUCAAUACUUGUCAACACAGCACUAACUCAAACACUUGACAAACCCAUUCAUCAGCUGACACGUAAUUAGUAGCACCAAACUUGCAUGCACCUAAAAUAAUAACCGUUUCUGUUGUGUUUAAGGAACACUCGGGACGCAUUAGAUUCGUUUUUCUCACCGAAACAUUUGGCAGAGAAAGCGUCUGCGGUCACGACCACAACCAUGUCAUCAUCGUUCACCGGCUCAUUCGGUGACGAUGACUUCAUGGCCUACGAUCCUCGUCUUGCUUCGCAGGGAUUCAACUCAUCGUUCUCGCAAUUCGAGGGGGACUCUGUAAAGGACUCAGCCGGUGACUCGUCUCCGAUCUUCAGUAGCCAGUCCUACGGAGCUGGCGACGAAGUGUUCUCGUCCAAUCCGCUGCCGGAUACUCCAUCGCCGCCGUCGAUCUACGCCGCCGGUGGUGGAUUCUCAAGUUUCUCGCCGGAGCGGAACGGUAAGAGUUUUGGUGGAGGUUUUGGUGCCGAGGAUGAUUCGAUCUUGCCGCCGCCAACGGAGAUGCCGGCUGAGGAAGGCUUUGCUCUCAGAGAGUGGCGUAGGUGAGCUCGCUAUUUCGUUUACUUAUAUAAUUGUUUUAUAUGCCUAUUGCCUAUUGAUUGAGUGCUGUGUGAAUCAGUCUUGUGGCUAGUUCCGCUGAGCUUCUUUGUAUAGAUAUUUUAAAAAAAUAUUAAUUUAGGUUGGCUUUCAUUCAAUUUCUUAUUUUUAUUAUUUUUACAAUAUGCACUAGACGUCCAUCUAAAGUAGACUAAGGAAUCGAAUCGGCAAAUAAUCAAAGCAAAUCUUUAUCAAUUAAUUGACUUGUCGGUUAUAUUCAGCGGUUAGUGAUUUCGUUAUACGGAUUAAAAGCCACUACAUCUCAAUACCAAGCUGGUACAGUCUCACUAGUACUUUUCUUAGGACCUAUAGCUGGAAUGAUUAAUCAACAAAUAAGAGUAGAUUUAAUUAAAAGAUAGAGUUGGUUGCUUCGAGGGAACCAAGACCUUCAAAGAAUUGCUACUUGACUCAACUUUUUGCAUAACAAACAUAACAUGGAGUUUAAGCAUUGCAUUAUCAGAAACGAAAUUACCUCUUCAUGACCUCUUGUACUGCAUUUAUAGUAGUUGGAUUUUAUUUUGAUUUUUUUUUAAAUAGCAAUUUUGGUGAUUGUGUAUGAAGAUCUUGGCUGAUUUGAAGUGUGAUUGUGGGUGGGAGAUGUGCAGACAAAAUGCGAUAAGGCUUGAACAAAAGGAGAAGAAGGAGAGAGAGAUGUUAAGGGAGAUAAUUGAGGAAGCAGAGCAGUACAAAGUUGAGUUCUAUAGGAAGCGAGCACUUGCUGUUGAGAAUAACAAAGCUUCUAAUAGGGAAAAGGAAAAGGUAAGAUCCACCUGCACCUGAUACUCUGUUGUUCUCUUUCAUCUUCUUAUAUAUUAUUUGUGAAUUUGCAUCCUUAUGUGCCUGUAGAAACAUAGGAUUAAGAUUGGAAGUGGGAUCGGUACAGUAACAACAACUAAUAAUCAGUUAAUUGUGGAUGGAUAUUCAUUAAUUAGUGUCGUUAUACUUGGCUUAUUGCAGAUUGUUCAGUAGUAAACUGCAUGUCUAGAGUAUUGUACAUUGAUUAAAUGUGUGCUGUGUUAAAUACAUUUUGCAAAUGUUAGAUGUACUUAGAACUGACACUGAAUAUGAUGUCUCAGCUGUUUCUGGCAAGUUGGGAGAAGUUUCAUGGUGAAGCUGAGAAGAAUUACUGGAAGGCAAUUGCAGAACUCAUUCCUUACGAGGUGCCAGCUAUAGAGAAAAGGGGGAAGAAAAAAGAUCAAGAGAAGAAGAAGCCUUCCAUCAUUGUGAUCCAGGGGCCUAAGCCCGGGAAACCAACUGACCUUUCAAGGAUGCGCCAAAUACUUGUGAAACUCAAGCACAAUCCUCCUCCUCAUAUGAACCCAAAACCACCACCACCACCACAAACAGAACCUACCAAAGAUGCAAAAACCAGCCCUGCUGUUGGUUCUGGCACUGCUACCUCAAAGCCUGCAGCCCCUGCAACUCCCAAGGGUGUGGCUGCAGCUUGAGAGACAUUCUACCUCCCUGCUGAAUCUGCUUAUGUGAAGAGUAACUAGCUAUGUUUCAGAAAUGUUUAUUUGGUAUGAUCUUGAACAUUAUGAUGUCUGAAAGUUUGUUAUUGUGAUCAUGCUAAUCUAAGCAUGUGG
rnacentral:lncRNA from 1 species